GAUAAACGCUGGCGGCGUGCAUGAGACAUGCAAGUCGAACGAAGGAUCGGGCUUGCUCGAUCCUUAGUGGCGGACGGCUGAGUAACGCGUAGGUGACCUACCCCGAAGUGGGGAAUAACUGCCCGAAAGGGUGGCUAAUACCGCAUGUGGUCGCACGUUCAUUCGUGCGAGUAAAGCCGCAAGGCGCUUCGGGAGGGGCCUGCGUCCGAUUAGCCCGUUGGUGGGGUAAUGGCUUACCAAGGCGACGAUCGGUAGGUGGUCUGAGAGGACGAUCACCCAGACUGGGACUGAGACACGGCCCAGACUCCUACGGGAGGCAGCAGCCGGGAAUUUUGCUCAAUGGGGGAAACCCUGAAGCAGCAACGCCGCGUGAGGGAUGAAGGCCUUCGGGUUGUAAACCUCUUUUGUCGGGGACGAUGAUGACGGUACCUGGCGAAUAAGCCACGGCUAACUACGUG
rnacentral:rRNA from 1 species